AGAACCAGAAAUGGCAGAAUAAGAUUGUAGGGAAACAAGCCUUGUUACAAGGUUUGAGGGUCUCUGCUAGAAUCAUGUGGACCCCAGUGUAACAAAUCUAUGGAAAGAGAGAAAAUCUCAGCUCAAGGGUCAACAUGUCUUUAUUCCAAGAAAGAGUGUACAUAUGCCAGAAUCAUAUGGACCGCAGACUGGCCCUGGUGAUUCCGUUAAGAAAAAAUAGGAAAAAUCAGUGCUUGUGCUCAUUGGUCAUUGGACAAAGGGUCUAUGCCAGAAUUUUUUCAAGAACAGUCUGAAUGUGACAUGAAAAAAAUGAAGAAAAACAGCCUUCCUGUUUAUAAAUCUACAUUCUGACAAAGGGUAAGAAAGAAAUUCAGGAGUUCUUAAAUUGCCCUUGGAGUUCUUGGAUUGCAUCAAACUGCUAAAAGACCUCAACAAAAACAGCGUCUUGAAAAUAAAAAUGAAAAUAUUCAGUGAAAAAAAAAUGAUGAAAGAGCCACUAAAAAUCUUCAAGCCUUUGAGCUGAAAUCUGGAAGUCAAUCUGUGGACUUUAAUAGUAAGUCAUAAUUACUAAGUCAUCAUUUGUGUAUAAUAAAUACACUAAACUGUAAACACUUGUUAAAAUGUGUAUAAUUUUUAGAUAUAAUUUGUAUCUCGUAGACUUCAAUAGUUUCAUGUAAUUUAAGUAAUAAUGAAAAUUUCCUGUUGUCUAGCUAGAUUAGAAACUAUUAUUGUCCAAUUUUGGAUAUUGUGAAAUAAUUCAUCUAGUAUGCA